UUUCACACGUUGUUCAGCAUUGUGAAAUUACUUUUCACCAUUUGGGUCAGGAGAAAUUAACCUGAAUGAUAAACUUGGUUGGCAACUUGAUUGUAUUAACCCUCUUUGUGAUCAAUCUGGCUAAGGGAAAUCUUUCGUUAAUGGUCCAUGAUCUUAGGCCUCUCUUCGAACUCUGUAGCUCGCCCUUUGUUCAACAACAUACUCUUU
rnacentral:lncRNA from 1 species